rnacentral:misc_RNA from 1 species
UCCGGUUUGUCACCGGCAGUCUCAUUAGAGUGCCCAACUGAAUGUAGCAACUAAUGACAAGGGUUGCGCUCGUUGCGGGACUUAACCCAACAUCUCACGACACGAGCUGACGACAGCCAUGCAGCACCUGUGUUCCGAUUCCCUUUCGGGCACCCUCACGUCUCCAUGAGGUUCCGUACAUGUCAAGGGUAGGUAAGGUUUUUCGCGUUGCGUCGAAUUAAACCACAUCAUCCACCGCUUGUGCGGGCCCCCGUCAAUUCCUUUGAGUUUCAGCCUUGCGGCCGUACUCCCCAGGCGGAGUGCUUAAUGCGUUUACUGCAGCACUAAAGGGCGGAAACCCUCUAACACUUAGCACUCAUCGUUUACGGCGUGGACUAC